AUGUACGUGGCACACGCCGCAUACACGGACCCGUACACGGACCCGAGAACGGGUAUGAGAGGUCCGGGAAAAAAUGGCCCAUACACCAUGCGAACCGGCUCAAAACCAGCUAAUGAUGGUCAACAAACGGUGCCAUGGCAGCGAAAACAUGUCUCAUGGCAAAAAAGCGCUGCCACGGCAGCGUUUCAAAACAGUGUACCCCUCCUUCACAAACUAAGGGCAGGGGUCCCAAUGGGGGCUAAAACCCUCGGGUAUAAUAGGGAGGAGGGGUCCUUCCUGGUGGGCGUACGGAACACGGGUGAUUUUUCUUAG
rnacentral:rRNA from 1 species